rnacentral:rRNA from 1 species
UACGAAGGGGGCUAGCGUUGCUCGGAAUUACUGGGCGUAAAGGGCGCGUAGGCGGAUAUUUAAGUUGGGGGUGAAAUCCCGGGGCUCAACCUCGGAAUUGCCUUCAAAACUGGAUAUCUUGAGUUCGGGAGAGGUGAGUGGAACUCCGAGUGUAGAGGUGAAAUUCGUAGAUAUUCGGAAGAACACCAGUGGCGAAGGCGGCUCACUGGCCCGGUACUGACGCUGAGGUGCGAAAGCGUGGGGAGCAAACAGG